UACAAUACAACACUAAGUGGACAUAAUAUGCCUUAUAGGUGAGGUCAAGAUAUAUAACACACUACGGCUUACCUUGACAUCGCUAGUGUUUGAAAAUACGAUAAUAGAUCGAUAGUUUGAAAGAUGGCUGACGUGACAGCUACACCUGAACCGCCAUACGUAGACGGAUUUGUCAAAGACGGGCUUGAAAAAGUCAAAGACGUUUUCAGGUAUUCCGGUUGUUUCAACAACAAUGACUUGUAGACAGAUGGUUAACAAUGCAUAUCUAUGGGGCACGGGACUGCUGCCUCCCUCACUUAAUUUCAUAGUAUGGGGGAGUUCAUAACGGCAUGAGGCUGUUGUCAGAGAAGGCUAUCCAAAGACAACUGGUGCCCAAGUCCUACGUCAAAGAUGCAGUGUAUGUAGGGUUGAUGUUUAAUCUUGGAGCCAUGGUAUUGGCGUCAGUGCACGAAGGUCAACCAAUUCGGAGGUCAAACGGCCAUUGCAGAUCCUACCCACAAGAUCUCCUUUGCACAGACGACCAACUAUUUAAACCCGGACAUACAUGUACAGGAGGAAUCUCGCUGGAAUGAUCUCAGUAACGCUCUGUACGAAUGUGUCUAUAAGAUAAAGAACAUUUCCGCCAAACGGACAAUCUAUGAAUCCUCUCACCAAAUGAAAGCAGCACUGGACUCACAAAAUGCAUAUUGUUGCCCUUCUAUGCGAAUGUCUAGCCAUAAAUACUUCAUUAAAUCAAAUGUUUUUUUGUAAGAAGAAAUAAAGUUACACAU